rnacentral:tRNA from 1 species
UGGGGUCUAGCUCAGCAGUAGAGUGCAUGCUUAGCAAGCAUGAGGUCCUGGGUUCAAGCCCCAGUACCUCCA